rnacentral:rRNA from 1 species
CCCUUAGAUGUUCUGGGCCGCACGCGCGCUACACUGAUGCAUUCAACGAGUCUAAAACCUGCUCUGAUAGGGGUGGGUAAUCUUUUGAAUGUGCAUCGUGAUUGGGAUAGAUGAUUGCAAUUUUUCAUCUUCAACGAGGAAUGCCUAGUAAACGCAAGUCAUCAGCUUGCAUUGAUUAUGUCCCUGCCCUUUGUACACACCGCCCGUCGCUCCUACCGAUUGAAUGAUCCGAUGAAUAUCAUGGAUUGAGGAUGCAAGUAGGUUAGCCUAUCUUCAUCUUCGAGAAGUGAAGUAAAUCUUAUCAUUUAGAGGAAGGAGAAGUCGUAACA